rnacentral:lncRNA from 1 species
AUCAAUCUGCUAAGUUGAUUAAGCUAAGUUGAUUUCAGAGGUAUUUAUCAAUCUGCUAAAAGCUCGAAUUACCAGAUUAAACUAAGUUGAUUUCAAGCGGGAAAGAGGUAUUUAUCAAUCUGCUAUUUGGGAAAUUAAAUAAGCAAGAGGGAUUUCAAGUUAAAUGCUUGAACAGAAUGGUAGGGUAAAAAUUAAUGGUGAAAGAGACUUAU